GUGCUCACUUUGGCAACAUAAAUACAUUGGCAACAAUGAUACAGAGAGGAUUAGCAUGGCCCCUAUGCAGGGAUGAUACACAAAUCUGUAAAGCCUUCCAAGUUUCU
rnacentral:snRNA from 1 species